rnacentral:misc_RNA from 1 species
GCCAUGUUUGCCUCCGGCUAACGGUGGUGUGUCACCUCAUUUUGUGAGCAAUUCCUUCACGCACGCUACAUGUGAGGACAGCAAGGAAUGCUCUGGGCGUCCGUGGUAUGCAUGAUAAAUGCCGCAUCGACCAUGUUUCCUCCUUGAGUGAUACCAUCAAGCGGUUAGGUGAAACCUACACACUUGAAGUGUGCCGAUCGCUCAUCCUCAGAAUUUGCUCUAGCACGAACCCGGUGAAAGUGGACACACUUUGUUGAAAGUCAUCCAGAGCCCGGUGCUCCCACUCUUUCUGGGGAGGCCAAGUAGCCCCCACUAUCCCAGCCACUGCUGAGAUAAUUCUGGCGGAGUCAGGCACAGAUACCUGCGAUCUAUUGGGGGGGGGGGGUCAGAGCAACUUACCGCUACUAGCGUCGAUGGUGAGCGCGGGCGCGUCGAAGGAAAGGAAAGGAAAUGUUCCUUCACAGUCGAUUUAUCGUCUGCUUUUUUUUUUAACCCCCCCCUCCUCGAUUCCAAGCCAAGCUUUACCUGUUUGAAGCGUCGAAAAUCUUGCGGACAGUGAAAGGGGCAAUUUCACGCUGCAAACAGACGCACUUUGCAUCAGCCUUAAUGGAAAAUCAGGCCGUGAUAACAGAAGGUGUGUUAAACCAUUUUCUGUGCGGCCCGCAAAAGGCUGCCUUAAGUUUUAGCCUCUGUGCGUUCGCUUCGUGAAACAGCACUCUCUGUCUUGCUAUUUUCCCUCUGGCGGCACUACACUGGUGGGCAAUCUAAAACCAUCGCACCUUUGGCGUUUCAGCUCACUUGUGCAAGCGAUGCAGGCAGCUGCAAAACGAGGAAGCAAUAUUCUCUUUCAAACAGUAUCAAGGAGCGAGCCUGCGUUGUGUCCGCCUCUUGUGCUUGAAUAAAUCCCUUCACGCAGCUUUUUUGCCAAUUUCCAAGGUAAAUAUAGAGAAGCGUGAGAUUACGUAUCCCUUGGCUGAGCAGAUGGGUUGCUCUUCAAUGCUCUAGUUCUAAUGUUUCGAUCAUCUCUACUUUUCUUUGAUGCGCCUAUUCACCAUUUGCACCUUUGUGCUCGCUGCCUGUUACAAAAG